rnacentral:rRNA from 1 species
AUUGAACGCUGGCGGCAGGCCUAACACAUGCAAGUCGAGCGAGCGGCGGACGGGUGAGUAAUGUCUGGGAAUCUGCCUGAUGGAGGGGGAUAACUACUGGAAACGGUCGCUAAUACCGCAUACUAUCGGAUGCGCCCAUAUGGGAUUAGCUAGUAGGUGGGGUAAUGGCUCACCUAGGCGACGAUCCCUAGCUGGUCUGAGAGGAUGAUCAGCCACACUGGGACUGAGACACGGCCCAGACUCCUACGGGAGGCAGCAGUGGGGAAUAUUGCACAAUGGGCGCAAGCCUGAUGCAGCCAUGCCGCGUGUGUGAAGAAGGCCUUAGGGUUGUAAAGUACUUUCAGCGAGGAGGCGUUACUCGAAGAAGAAGCACCGGCUAACUCCGUGCCAGCAGCCGCGGUAAUUC